GUGAUUCACCAAACGGAACUAAAUCCAGGCUGCACGAAUCGCAAAGCGAACAAUCCACAAUUCCCAGUACCCUCACGCCGGCAUCCGUCGAAGCUGCUCGACCUCGACUCAAGCCUUCCUUGCUCCUUGCCGCCGUCGAGUCGUCGCAGGAACGAUGACCCGGCGGAACGGCUGUACGAUCUACGUGGGCAACCUCCCCGGCGACAUCCGCGAGAGGGAAGUGGAUGAUCUCUUCUACAAGCUCUGGAAGGGAAGGCAAUGUGGAUUGCGAAUGUAUGGACGUAUAGUGGAAAUUGACUUGAAAAUUCCACCAAGGCCUCCUGGUUUUGCUUUUGUUGAGUUUGAGGACGCACGUGAUGCUGAAGAUGCAAUAUAUGGCCGUGAUGGAUACAACUUUGAUGGCCAUAGGUUGCGGGUGGAAUUAGCCCAUGGUGGACGAGGCACAUCUUCUUUUGAUCGAUCUAGCAGCUAUAGCAGUGCUGGACAACGCGGUGCCUCAAAACGUUCUGAUUACCGUGUUAUGGUUACUGGAUUACCUUCUUCAGCAUCAUGGCAAGAUCUCAAGGACCAUAUGCGGCGAGCUGGUGAUGUCUGUUUCACUGAUGUGUAUCGUGAGGCUGGAGCAACUAUUGGAAUAGCUGAUUAUACUAACUAUGAAGAUAUGAAACACGCGAUAAGGAAGCUAGAUGAUUCUGAGUUCCGUAAUGCUUUUUCAAGGACAUAUGUCCGGGUGAGGGAGUAUGAUGCUAGGCGCAGCCGUUCUCGCUCCAGAGGCAGAAACCGCUCUAAGUCAAGAAGCAGAAGCCACAGCCACUCGUACUCAAGAAGCAGAAGCUGCAGUUAUAGCAAGAGUAGGAGCCCAAGAUCUAGAUCUGCUUCAGAGUCAAAAUCACCUGUUAAGGCAAGAUUGGGGCAAUGUGAGGAUCUGGGAAUUGCAUUGGUAGGAUAAUGGAAUAUUGAGAACGUGAUGAUGGUUUGGAACGUUGGAUAGUCACAGCUGGAUUGUGAUGCAUUGUAUGACAAGUGGACUGCCACCAGCAAUAGGAGCAAGAUAGGGCUGGCACCACACAUACGGACAGGAUUUUUUGAUCACCAUCCAGAUCCCCUCCUGUUUCUCCCCGGCGUGACAAGUCUGCAAGCAGGAGUCCUGCCAGGAGCAAGAGUCUGCCCCGAUCUUGUUCUCCGGCAAAAUCAGAGUGAAUCGGAUUCUGCACUUGAAACGUUCAGAAAGGCAGAGCUCGAGCUAAAAGAUUGCUGUACGGAUUAUGAGCACUGUGCUAGUAGCAUUGCUGUCCCUUCCAUAUUUUUACAAAUACUCUGUUCUUUGAGGAGAUCACUGUAUGCUACUACUCUGUACCUGACAUGAUGCAAACGUUGUUGGUUUUUGAACUUAGCAGAACGAUGACUUUGAUCAGCUCCAUCCAUUCCUUCCAUUUUUUUUUUCUGAAUAUUUCAAAAGAUUGUAGUAUGCAGCUAUUGUUAUUCUCUGAUGCACUCCUGUGUCCUGUCAUUGUGGAAAAAAAAUGGAAUUCUACCAUUCA